rnacentral:rRNA from 1 species
GACAGAGGGUGCAAGCGUUGUUCGGAAUUACUGGGCGUAAAGGGCGCGUAGGCGGCCUGCUAAGUCGGAUGUGAAAUCCCUCGGCUCAACCGAGGAACUGCAUCCGAUACUGGCGGGCUUGAAUCCGGGAGAGGGAUGUGGAAUUCCAGGUGUAGCGGUGAAAUGCGUAGAUAUCUGGAGGAACACCGGUGGCGAAGGCGGCAUCCUGGACCGACAUUGACGCUGAGGAGCGAAAGCUAGGGGAGCAAACGGG